AGCGAACGCUGGCGGCAGGCCUAACACAUGCAAGUCGAACGAACCCUUCGGGGUUAGUGGCGGACGGGUGAGUAACACGUGGGAACGUGCCUUUAGGUUCGGAAUAACUCAGGGAAACUUGUGCUAAUACCGAAUGUGCCCUUCGGGGGAAAGAUUUAUCGCCUUUAGAGCGGCCCGCGUCUGAUUAGCUAGUUGGUGAGGUAAUGGCUCAACAAGGCUACGAUCAGUAGCUGGUCUGAGAGGAUGACCAGCCACAUUGGGACUGAGACACGGCCCAAACUCCUACGUGAGGCAGCAGUGGGGAAUCUUGCGCAAUGGGCGAAAGCCUGACGCAGCCAUGCCGCGUGGAUGAUGAAGGUCUUAGGAUUGUAAAAUCCUUUCACCGGUGAAGAUAAUGACUGUAGCCGGAGAAGAAGCCCCGGCUAACUUCGUGCCAGCCGCCGCGGUAACAC
rnacentral:rRNA from 1 species